rnacentral:misc_RNA from 1 species
AAGAACACCACUAGCUUGUUUAUUUAUAAGUCUGAUGUCACGACUGAUGAACAGUGAACAAAUUGUAAACACGGUACUGUUAGUCACAACUACACAGACCGAAUAAUUGUCUUCGUAAAGUGAAUAUUAUCUAGGAAAAUUCUUAUGACGCAACAUAGAAUGCAGAAGCAUUGUGUACGUUAUCUUAAUAUUGUUCUUAGCACUGUACUAUUGAUAACUCCGGGAUACCUCUCUUUGGGAAUUAAACCAGUUUCUUAUCUGCCUCGGUCUAUUAACACGACCAGACAACCGUAAUUUAUCAGACGAUUUCACAAGAGCAAUUUUUCGCACGGCAACCUCGUCAUUGUUCCAUCUUUCGAAUCGAAGGAAAUUCUCCCGCGGCGAAUUAAAUCUAACACAAGACGAUUAUAGUAUCAGCGGCGCGUAAACUUCGUUUUUGCAUGCCGUCUAACUUUCGUGCUACAUUUCAAGAGCUUUCUUCCAACCAGGACUUAUUGCAGAUAUAAUUUACCUUGUCUUUUAUGUAUAACUGUUGCUUUGCAUACUUAGAGGCGCGAAUUGAAAAGUUAAGGUAC